CGCGGAACGAGUGCGGAGUGGCGUCGCGAGAGUUUUGUUUAAUUGAUCGCGACGGGCACGAGACGGAUCGGCUAGGGCUGCGGAACGAGUGGCGUCGUGAGAGUUGUUUAAUAGUUUAAUUGAUCGCGACGGGCACGGAGACGGAUCGGCUAGGGCUGCGGAACGAGUGAACCAUCACAGCUGAUAAUAUGUAGCUGACAUUUCCACACUCCAUGAGGGAGCUGACAACUCGAGAGGACAGCCUGAGAGGAGGAGGAGACCUGCCAGGAAGAGGCAUCGG